CAUAGGCCAAAGGGCAUCCUCCUGAAGACAUAAUUGCCAUAUGGCAUGUGAAGGAGGUCUUCUCUCGGUCCUCGAGUGCAAUGGAAAUCUGAUUGUACCCCGAGUACCCAUCCAGGAAGCAGAAGUGUGACCUUCCUGCCAAUCUAUCCAGCAUCUAAUCAAUGAAGGGAAGUGGGAAGUGGUCUUUCCAGGUGGCUAGAUUCAACUUUCGAUAAUCCAUCCAUAUUCUCUAGCCGGUGACGGUUCUUGUUGAUAUUAGUUCAUUAUUGUCAUUCUACACAACCGUCAUGCCACCCUUCUUAGGCAUGCAUUGAACUGGGCUAACCCAGCUGCUGCCGGAUAUUGGGAAAAUAAUUCCCGCAUCUAACCACUUUAUCACCUCCUUCUUCACCACUUCCUUCAUAUUUGGGUUCAGCCUCCUCUGAUGUUCCCUGAAAGGUUUGUGCCCCUCUUUCGGCAUAAUUUUAUGCAUGCAGUAAGCGGGGCUGGUCCCCUUGAUGUCUGCCAUGGUCCAUCAAAUGGCAAUUUUGCAUUCCUUCAAUACCUGUAGAAGCUGUUGGACCUGUACAUCUAACAAACCAGAUGAGAUAAUAAUUGGUAGAGUGGAGUUAGGUCCUACAAAUUCAUACCCAAGGUGGGCUGGCAAUGGCUUUAGUUCCAGCUUCGAUGGUUCUUCAAUGGAUGGCUUAGCUGGAGGAGUCUCUCUCUUUUCUAAUUGUAGGGGCUCAAACUCUAGAUUUCUUUCCCAUAACCCUCUAGAAGUUAGGUCCUAGAAAUUCAUACAUGAGGUGGGCUAGCAAUGGCUUUAGUUCCAGCUUCAAUGGUUCUUCAAUGGAUGGAUUAGCUUGAGGAAUCUCUCUCUUUUCUAUGUGUAGGGGCUCAAACUCUAGAUUUCUUUCCCAGAACCCUCUACCUUCCAAUGCCAACACCCAUUCUGCCAAGUUCUCACCAUUAACUUCCUCCAAAUUCGUAGACAUGCAGCGGGGGAGUCCUUAACUGUCAAC
rnacentral:lncRNA from 1 species